rnacentral:rRNA from 1 species
UACGUAGGUGGCAAGCGUUGUCCGGAUUUAUUGGGUUUAAAGGGUGCGCAGGCGGGAUGUUAAGUCGGCGGUGAAAUUUUGCAGCUCAACUGUAAAAGUGCCUUCGAUACUGGCUUUCUUGAGUGUGGAUGAAGUAGGCGGAAUUUGUGGUGUAGCGGUGAAAUGCUUAGAUAUCACGAGGAACUCCGAUUGCGCAGGCAGCUUACUAAACCACUACUGACGCUCAUGCACGAAGGCGUGGGGAUCAAACAGGAUUAGAUA